GUUUGAUGUUACUUCUGCUGGUUCUGGUGACCCAUGAAGCUGUCCUAGCUUCGCAGUGUCACCGUGUCGUGCCAACUCCUUGGCUUCUGGGUGUGGGGAGAGGGGAGCUGCUGGCUCCUUCUCCUUCCCCUCCCCCAAGAUUUAUGAAGCUUGGUAUUCUCCUAACACUAGGCCACCAAAAAUGAAAACUAUCUGCUGCAGGUGGAUACUUGUAGCUACCAUGCAGCAAGGGGGGAUUCUUUCCUCUUUUUGUAGAAGGAUGAUUGGGGAAAAGCUAGGCACUGUGUCCUGAGGUGCCAGGGGAUCUGAUUCUGAUGAAAAGUAAAAAGGAACAGAAAUGGCAGGAUGCAAAAGCCAAAGACAAACUUCCACUCUGCAUUUUGUCCUUGGGUUCUACUAUGAUCCGUGACCUUCCCUGACGUGUACCACAACCACGGUUCAACGCGUACAUUGAUGUCUGGAGUAAAAUCCACACAAGAUGCAUUUUCACCACAGCAUCUGGUUCUCUGGGAACCCCAUGGCCUGCUUUCUUGCUGCCUUUAACCUUUUGUCUGAAGUAUGUUCUGGCAGCCAAAGAUGUGUCUGAAUUACUUUGUGUUUUCAGGAAUCCCACUUUCCCUUCACUCAUAAAAUCUGCAACCUGGUGUAGGGAUGUUUGCAAUGUGUUUCCCCCGGUCCUUACAUUUUGGGGGAGGGUCAUGGAGCUAUUCGCUUCACAUCCACCCACAUCUCAGUCCUCAUCCCACCCAGAGAUUGAGGUUUCCUUUGUCAAUAGUCUGUACUCAAAACCACAAACCCUAUGGUGAUCAGUGAAACCAUGUCUUGCUUGAUGAAUGAGGUAGCUAGUAGAUCUCUGUCCUUUUGUGAAAAGAAUAUAAAAUGAAGCAAAUCUUAAAAGGAAAACCUGUACUGUUUUUAAGAGCAAAAGUGCUCAAGUUUAAAAAAAAAAUACGUUAGAUCUGUUACACUAUUGUUGGCAUCAGACCUAGGAGCUUUGUUAUAUUAAAAACAUCUUCUACAAAAGCAACCAAUUUAAGAAGAGUACGAAGAGCCUAAAAUAUAUAUCUCUCAAGCAUCUUCCUUACAGAAGCAGAACCAAAUGUUAUAUAAUGUGAAUGAGAUAAAACCACAAUCAGUGGCCUUCCUCCUCCAAACGGAGGGGACUUCUCAAA